rnacentral:rRNA from 1 species
AUGUCGACUCACCUUUUUAUCCAGUCUUAUUGGAAUGACCUUCAAAUCACAAAGAAACCGAACUUGCAUCACAUUCCAUCGAGACAGCCCCGGCCGAGACAGUGGAUUCAGCCACCAGAGAACACAAUGAAGCUCGACGUGGAUGCGGCGGUGGCAUCACGGAGGGGAAUAGGAGCAGUGGGUGCAGUUUGCAGAGACAGGGGAGGCAGUUUCCAGGGUACCUCGGUGAUCGUUUUCAGAGGUAUAAUCGACCCCACUACGCUGGAGGCGUUAGCGGUGAGGGAAGCAAUGGCACUCGCGGAAGAUUUGAACGUCUCUGCCAUACAGGUGGCCUCAGACUGUUCGGUGGUAAUAGAUGACAUCAAGAGAAAUAGUGGAGCAGAAUAUGGAGCAAUCGUGCAAGAGAUUAGAGAGUAUGCUAAGUCUUUUGUUUUAUGUAAUUUUGUUCAUGAGUUUAGGAGCUCGAAUUUCGAAGCUCAUAAUCUAGUGAGACAUGCACUGCGACGGGGCCUGGCCGCCAUGUUUGGUUAG